rfam:Helianthus annuus linkage group 2, whole genome shotgun sequence.
GUUCCCAAUGAUUUUAAAUUUGACCAUGCUAAUUCUGAUAUUGUUGAAUCAGUUCACAGUUAUUAAUGAGGGAACU